rnacentral:lncRNA from 1 species
AUGAUCCUGAACUUGGGUGAUAUGGAGGUGAUCCUGGCCUGAAUAAGGUUUGAUGCCUGAGGUGGGCUGAGAAUGACUUCAAAGGUAUGUUCACAUCUUAAUUCUGGAAGCCUGUAAAUGUGACCUCAUUUGGAAAUAGGGUCUGUGCAGAUAUGCCUAAGUUAAAGAUCUUUAGGUAAGACAGUCUUCACAAGCAUCUUUAUAAGGGAGAGACAGACGCAAACAGAGGAGAAGGUGAUGUGAAGUUGGAGGCAGAGACGGAAGUGCUAAGGAAGGCUGAGGAGGUGCAGCAAUGUUGGCAACACCAGAAGCUGGAUAUGGUGAACAGAGAACUCCCUUAGACCCUCUGGAGGGAGCCUGGCCCUGCUGGCACAUUAAUCUCAGACCUGGCUUCCAGCACUCUGAGAGGGAAAUUUUUGUUAAUUUACCAAAUGUGUAGUAAUUUGUCAUCACAGCCACAGGAAACGAAUACAAUACCCUUUAACUGACACCACACAUAAAUACACACUCUCUACAGAACUGUGUUACUCCCCAUCUCCAGCUUUGUUAUGCCUGUACUUGGCUAUGUUACUGCCCAUAUCUGGCUAUGUUACUCCCCCCAUCUCUGGCUAUGUUACUUCUCAUAUCUGGCUAUGUUAUUCCAACCAUCUGUGGCUAUGUUACUGCCCCAUAUCUAGCUAUGUUACUCCCCAUAUCUGGAUAUGUUAACUCCCCCAUAUGUGGCUAUGUCACUCCCCAUAUCUGGCUGUGUUACUCC